rnacentral:rRNA from 1 species
UACAGAGGUGGCAAGCGUUGUUCGGAAUUACUGGGCGUAAAGGGCGCGUAGGCGGUUCGUUAAGUCCUGUGUGAAAUCCCCCGGCUCAACUGGGAACUGCACAGGAAACUAGCGGGCUUGAGUUCGGGAGAGGGAAGCGGAAUUCCGGUGUAGCGGUGAAAUGCGUAGAUAUCCGGAGGAACGCCGGUGGCGAAGGCGGCUCCUGGACCGACACUGACGCUGAGGCGCGAAGCUAGGGAGCAAACGGG